AGAGUGAAACAGCUGAUUUGAGAUUUUACAAAAGGGCAGCAAAUUGUUAGUUGUUUAAUUUAUCUUUAUUGUAUUUUUUAUUCCCAGGGAGAGGCACUUGUGGGAUUUUCUGCCUCAGCUGCCAAGAAUGAUGCACCUUGAGUUGUAAUCUUGUGACGUACCUCCUAGGGAGCACUGGCCGAAGUUGUGUCCACAAAGUGAUUGGCUCUUCUGAUAUGACAAAGCAGUCUGUGUCCUGAACUGUCCCAGCUCUUGCUGUUGCCAGAGUGCCCUAAAACCUAAGGUGUAAGAUGAACUGCAGCAGAACGGAAACAGUAUACAGGGCAGAGUGGAAAGCAACGCCUCCUUACAUCCCAUGGCGGUCGUACUGCUUCCCUUCCAAUCAGCACAUAUCCUGUGACUCCUUGCUGAAAUACCUUAACUUUUCAUACCGUAAAUGUUCUGACUUUACCUUUAAAAGACAGAGCUCUGGGAUAUUCUCUUCCUUCAUCAUCCAACAUCCUCCCUGUUAGGAUGGUAAUGCUGUACAUAAAGGAUCACGGGUGCAAUUUAUGCAUUUUUUUGGCAGUGUAAUUUUAUUUAUUUAAAUAUUAUACAUCCGUUAUGAACCGCUAAAUAUUUUUUAAAAUCUCUAAGUGGUGUGCAAUAUAAAAAAAAAUGUCAUUAAAACAAAAAUGCAGCAUAAAGCCAACAAAAUAGUAGUAUGAAACAUAUGAAAAUAAAUAAAACAGGAAGCCAAGGAAUACAGAUAUAUAAAACAGGGUCUAAUCUUAUGGAUCAGGGAAAGCUGGGCAAAAAGAGAAGUCUUCACAAGAGGUCUGAAGCAACGGGUGGUUGUGCUUCAUGCAUGGCAGAGGGCAUUCCCUAUGGUACAGGAGCAACAGCAGAAAAUGUUGCUGAUGCAACAUUGCUUCCACACCGCACUAGAAGUAUACGGAUGCGUAGCAGGCUUGUUUAUAUGGGGGGCAGCAGCAGCAGCAGCCUCAGUGGAUCACUGCACAAAAAUGGGGGGAACUAAUGUGAUUUAGCCAACUCUUUAUUACAUAUUACAUUUUCAUAUUGCCAUUCUAGGAGUUCAAGUCAGUAUACAGAGCCGUCAUACCAGCAUUUGCCAGGGGCUAUUUUCCUUCCACUCACGGUUCAUUGAAUCCAGCCCCCCAAAAACAAAAAUAAUGAAUGUUAAUGUCUACUGGAUCACCCCAAGCUAUGUUCUAUAAUAUAUGAGCCCUGUUGUUUUUGAACUCUCAGGGUGUAUAAAACAGCUGCUUUUUCAAAGCCCUUAAUUUCCCUCAAGUCCAACGGUCCUAUGUUAAAUAUUAACAGCUGUGAAACAAAAUUCAACAGGCAUGAGGGAUGAAUCAGCAUUUGCUGCAGAGGCAAGGCCAAAGUCUUGGCAAAAGAAGAGAAGAUUGGUGGAAAGCAGGAUCAGCAGAGCUUGUGCUGGGCAACUUCGGGAGGAAGAGCAGGAUAUAAAUGCAUUAGUAAGAAAUACUCAAUGGAACUUACUCCCAGGAUCAGACACUGUUACGAGAGGAUGGUCUAAGAUUGAGUUCUUAAACUGUGAAUCAAAAUUUCCUGGAACUCGGACAGAGUUCUACUACUCCCAAGUGUCAAGUUUCCUUGGGACAAAACGAACAGAAUCACACACUCUGAUACCAAUGAGAACUCAGCAAACAAAGCCAGAGGAAGAAGCUACUCAGUUUCUGUUAAGUUAAUGUCUAGAGCAUGCAGGUUGGUCCUAUUCUUAGGUAUUUGCUCAAGUGUGAGAAACAGCAGAAGCGCUCCUGCAGAAACUCCAAUAUAUCACACUUUAUCCUGCCAAAGAGAGACAGCAGGCACGGGAUUAGUACAUGUUUAGAAGGAGAGAUUCCUCCCAAUUGAAAAGGUCUGAAGAAAACAAUGGUGUAAAAUUAUUAUAUUAAAAUGUGUAUCAGGUU